rnacentral:misc_RNA from 1 species
AGACGGCAUACGCCACCUCGCAUCGCCGAUGCCGUCCCCGUCGUCAUCGACGCCACCGCCGACGGUCAGCUUCGUAGAUGCGGUGAAGCAGCGCUACGGCUCUGCCGACGACAACACGGAGGAGCCGCUCGGUGUGGCCUUUGCGCAGGACAAGAAAUGGCAGUUUGUGGGCGUGCAGCAGACGCGCGUGAAGCAGAGCCGCCACGAUCGGCUCACCCUCGUCGUGCUGCGCAACUGCGGCAUCAACGUGGCCAUGCACGAGCCGAGCGCCACGACGGCCGCAGGCGGCGGCCCAAAAGAGGUGCAGGAAGCGAACAUGAUCCGGCUGGAAGAGCUGGACCUGUCAGAGAACACGGCGCUCUCGCUGGCCGAGGUUGGCAAGCUCAUGCCCUACCUCCCACGCCUGGCAACACUGCAGCUGUGCAGCAUACCGGACCUGCUGCCGAUGGCACCACCCGCGACGGCGGCACUCUCGUCGUCGCACCUGUCCAAGCUAGUUUUGAACAACACCGGCUUCCGCUCGCUGGCGCAGCUGCGCGCUCUCGUCGAGGUGCCACAACUGAAGGAGCUGCACUUGGACUCGAACAAUCUCACCUCGCUCGACGUUGUCGUCGCGUCACCGCCGGCGUCGCCAGGGACAGCGGAGAGGAUGGCGGCAAACGACUCUGGCGCUGGUGCCGCGGCCGGCGAGGUUGUCUUCCCUCAUGUCACGACUCUGAGCCUGGCGCACAACGAGUUGUCAGACUGGCGAGCCAUCGGUGUCGCCCUCGCGCAGGUCUUCCCGGCACUCACGCAGCUCUACCUGACCGACAACAAGCUGGAAGACCUUGUACUGCCGGAGACUCUCGUCGCACGCGCGGCUGCCGGUGAGGCCCUCACAGCAGAGCUGGAAGACGGUGGUGUUCUGCAGCCGUACCGCUAUCUUCGCCCGCUAACGCUACUGUGCCUGAAGGACAACGCUACGUUGUGCAACACCAGCACGGUAGACGCCGUGCGGAUCCUCUGCCCGAAGCUCGCCACCUUCCGCAUCACGUACAGCACGCUGCUUCCCACCUGGAACGAAACCAACGGCCGCAUGUACGUCGUGGCCGCGCUGCCGACGAUCACGCUGCUCAACCGCGGCACCGUGCGGCCGAAGGAGCGGCUGGACUCGGAGCUGCUGUACAUCCAGCGUGGGCUGCUGCAGCGUCAGAUGGAUGAGGAGUCGCGUGACGGAGCCAACAAAGUGGCCGGCUCGGCCACGGGCGCACCCCUUCCGCGCGUCGCGUACCCGCUCGUCGAUGUACUCAAGGAGAAGCACAAGGACGUCGUGCUCGCCAUCCAGCGCGACGGCGACACCGCGACGACGACGGGUGCCAGCUACGUCAUGAUCACCGUCACACUUUACUUCGUGAACGGCUACGCGGCGGCGGCCGCCGCCGCCACGUCGUCUUCGUCGAGCCCGAUGACGACGCAGACGUCGAAGCUGCCGAGCACGUUGACCGUGGCGAGGCUGAAGGCGCUGGUUCAAAGGAUGUUUCAGGUAAAGCCAGUCAAUCAGCGGCUCAGCUACCGCAGCGGCGACGACGGUGUGCUGGAGCUGCAGACGCCGCUAGACAACGAGCUAGAGACGCUCGGGUACUACGGAGUGUCCGAUGGGUCCAUCAUCUACGUCGAGGAUGCCUCGCUGCGGUAAGACGCCGCUGUGCCAGCCUCGCCUCCCCACCAGCUCUGUCCCUCCUCCACCCGUCGUCGCCCGACUGCUGCGCCGUGCAGCAGCCGGGGCCGCCGCAGCUCUCAUGGGUGGGGGUCGACGGCGGUGGACGACUGGCGCGUAAGGGCGAUUCCCCUGAUGUGGCACGUAUAAGGACGCAAUG